UGCAUCAGAGAGGUAACGAACCCACUACGUGAUGCGUGUCAGGAAACAUUUACUGAGGUUUAUUAAACAUGAAGUCGUAAACAACAUCCAAGCAUAAAUCGAGAAACCAAGACAACAAACAAAUCCAAAGCAGAGAAAAAGAACCAUCAGCUGGUGAGCUGGAGAAGUGACAAUGCUGAAUGACAUGGCUAACAGGAAACUGGUAUAAAUGUCAUCCAAACAGGAAGUGGAUUGUAAUCAGAAUUAAAGUGAUGGCUCCCUCUGGUGGAGGGAUGAGUGAUCCAUGAACUGAGACGUCACAAGAGUAAACAGAGUAAAAGGUAAAGACAUAAAGCAAGUAUCCAGGAGAGGACUGAUGAGAUAAAGGCUCUGUGUCAUCAGGAGAGAAACAUCUCACACUGCGCUGGAGGAACGUGGACCCUUUCAGGCGGAUGGAGUCUAGCUGUGUGUAUCAUGUACGCAGUGGCUGUUAGACCACUGUGUGUGAGGCCACUGAGAUAUUUUGGAUAAAGAUGUGGAAAGGAUGCAAUAAACUUGGCAGGAUAUAAAUGUCCGGGUCCAGCGAUCACUGAGCCACUCCGCAGAUGUAUGAGGCGGUGUAAGUAGGUGGAGAUGUGAGCGUACGAUCACUGAGCUCCUGAUGACCUCUGCACUGUGAGAGAGCGAACGGAGGGAGGCUGCGCGAUCGAUAGCAGAUGCUAUCACAGCUCCCCCCACGUGCCCGGGGGUCCUGAUCUCCACAGGGGUCAUCAGCAAGUUAUUUUGAUGUCACACAGACAGAGUCACAGUAAAAUGGAGCUAGAAAAGUGGAUACAAACCCCACUACGGUUAUGUUCGUAAACCGACGCCAAGUGAGACGACAUAAUUUAAAAGAAUAACGACAGAUAAACUCUCGGAGUGUGACUUUAUCAAUAUGAUGGAUAUAAUCACGCUCUACACGCCUUCACCUGAUCCAUUUCUAUGCUGGCCUCGUUCCACUUCACACCCGUGAUGAUCAAAUCGAACUUUAAUCCGUGUUUUGUAAUUAAUUAUUUACACCUGUCUCCAACUUCCCGCUCUGUUGUCAGGAUGUGUGGAGCGCCGAGUUCCGAUGUUGUGAGCUCCAGUGUUUGAUAAAGCAUUCUGUUGAGGAGAAGUCAGCAGUUAUUAAGGUUCUCUCUCGACGCGGUGGUGGCGGGCUGCACACUGUGCUUGGAGCGAGCUCUCUCUGAGGACGAGUUCAAACGUGGCACCUCGACAUACGCUCUCCGACACACAAAAAGAACCUUUCAUCUGCUUCCCGAGCAGCUCCUCGUCUCCUCUUUGUGUCUGAGAUUUCACCGAGUGCCUCGACUUUGUUUAACCUCAGCCAGGAGGAUUCCAUUCGACUCGACAUCAUGCAGAAUGAUUCGUGAUUCUAAUAUGCGAGAGGGAUCUGGGUGAUUUUUCUAGAUAUCUGAGAGCCAGAAGAAUGACACUCGUAUAUAUCUCCUUUCCUUCCAUUUGGGACACUGUGUCUUUUAGCACGUUAGCAUGACUUUGCUUUUUUGAUUGUCAGCGCUAACUAGAAGGUUACUGGUAGGUUUCUUUUUUUUUUUUUUAAGAUUUCUGAACCGGUUUUCUGUCAGAAUGGAGAACAUGAAUGGUUAUUGACAUGAUUAAUGAAAAUCAUCACCUAAAACAUCAGAGAUAAGGGACAAUGUUGAUGAGAAAAUGAGACGGAGAGAAGAAAAGAAGGUGACCGUCAUUUCAGGUGUUCAGAAGUCUCGACAAACACACGGUGAUGGCUGAUGGUAAUUGUGUGGUGUAAAUCCUGCCAGGAGAUACGGUCCACCAGCGAGGUCGAUUAAUCGGGCAUUAAACUCAAUCUGAGCAGGACCUUGAAGGGGAGAUUUUCAUUAUGAGACCAAGAGCAUCUGCAGAUGAGGACCACAGCAGCCAAGGCCAAGCUCUUUACACCUUUUCACACUUUCCACAGCUGCUCCAAGCCUCUGCACAGAGACGGCACACACACACACACACACACACACACACACACACACACACACACACACACACACAGCGACGUAUUCAUCCUCCUCUUUCCUUAUAUACUUUUAUCAGAAAGGCUGAGAGACGUCAAGUGAGGGAUGAGCUGUAGUCCAGGAAUCGAGCAGCGCCGGCCUUGGGAGAGAUUUAGAACCAGAGGGAACGGUUUUCUAAAACUCCAGCAGAAUGUGGAGGUGUUUGUUGGUGCAGGACCAAGAAUACCAGGAACAGGCUCUUCUGACUACACCUACGUAUUCAUCAUGGGGUUUCCAUCCACCGGUCUUCAUGCAGAUUUUGUAAAGACCUCCUACAUAUCACAGGGUUUUCUGUUUGGCAGAGGUGGAAAUGUUGGCGUAUAAAUAAAAGAAAUUGUGAUUCGUUUGUGUAGAAAGCAGAAUUGACUUGAUAUUAACCUGUGAAUAACGUGUGUCUUCAUUCUCCUCAAAGCUGUGAUUAUCAUGUCACACCACGGGGCUGAGGAACCCUGCCUUCUGAUUGGACAGAAAGGCGUCGAUUCGUUUCAUAGAACAGCUUUCCAUCUGAUGCUUUAUGGUUUCUAACAGCAGCUUAUCGUCAGGAAGAGCCGACAACAACCGACGACACAAACCUACACAGCUGAACAGACCACAAGGAUUAUUUUAUAACACUUUUGUGUGCAAAAUCAUGUGUAAAAAUUAAAAAAAAAAAAAUGGAAGAAGGGAAUUUGAUGAUUUUAUCCCUCAUCUGAUGUGUAAAUGACAUAAAUGUUGCUGUAAAGGCUUCUGUCUAAUGCCUUAAAUGUACAGCCUCGUGUGUGUCAGUGUACAGUGUGACGUUCAGUUAAUUCAUGUAUAAAAUGUUUCUUGUGUGGUGUUAGAGGACUAAAGCUCAGUGUCUGAUGAUAUUCCUGAUGUAUUCCUUAUGAAUUUGCUAAUUUGAUCUCAUACAGCAUUGAGCUGCAGUGCUGCAGAGAAAAAAAGGAAGAAGAAACAUAUUUAUUUCUGUGUAUAUUGAUUUUUUCCCCAUAUACAGUGAUUUUGUAGCGUAUUUAGCAACAGAGCGUCGUGCCUAAUGAACUCCGCUGAGUCUAGACGGGUUUGGAGAUGACAGAACUUUGAGUGGGAUGUUCAUGAAAGUGCACAGGUCACCCGGUUCACACGGAAAAGUUCUGAAACUUUUCUCUCGCCGGUUUUAACGAUCGCACGAUGGCAGAUUCGCAGGAAACACACAGGCUGAUAUGGAAAGUUUGUUUUCCCCGCAGCUCUGAGCUGAUUGGACGAUGAGUAUAGAUCUGCCUCUGAAUCUCUGUGAUCUGACCCCUGCCUCGAACCCCGACUGCUGCCUUAGACAGAAUAAAUAAAGUAGCUGUGUGUGUGUGUGUGUGUGUGUGUGUGUGUGUGUGUGUGUGUGUGUGUGUGUGUGUGUGUGUGUGUGUGUGUGUGAUCCACCUCCCAGUGUGAUUAAAAAUAGCUCAGAAGGUGGGAAAACACCCAAUUUGGCAACACUGAAAGGAAAGUGAACAGAUGCUUGCAUAGAAAUCCUCCAACAGAGACACUGUGUGUGUGUGUGUGUGUGUGUGUGUGUGUGUGUGUGUGUGUGUGUGUGUGUGUGUGUGUGUGUGUGUGUGUGUGUGUGUGUGUGUGUGUGUGUGUUCUGUCUCCCAGCAGAUGGCUGUUAGCAUCCACCACUACAGCCAUUUAGCUGAUUACUCUGUGACUUUGGCUUAAUUUAAAUAAAAAAGUUUUCUACUUUAGAAUAUUUGGUUUUGUAACAUUAAUAUUAAUGUCUGUAACUUUGCUGUAGUGAGACGUCCCUUAAUGCCGGAAUUGUUGAACUUCCUACAUAUUUAUGAAUUUCAGAUGUAAACUCGGUAGCAUUAAAUCACAUCUGAAGUAAAAAUUGAUUUCUCGUGUACUUUUACUUUGUAGCUGAUACACCAGACUAGACUACAGUAGAAAAGCUGCCCAGUGUUUCUGAAUUAUUUCUGUAAGUAAUACGAAGCAAAUCGUUGUUAGUUUAUUUUCCUGCAUUGUGUCAUUUUUCUUCCUUUUUUUUACAUGUUUAAUCUCCAUAAGAACUUUUUACAAAUUUACAAAU